UCCGGCUUAUCACCGGCAGUUUUCUCAGAGUUCUCAGCUUGACCUGUUAGCAACAGAGAAUGAGGGUUGCGCUCGUUGCGGGACUUAACCCAACAUCUCACGACACGAGCUGACGACAGCCAUGCAGCACCUGUGCACCUCCCACCCGAAGUGAAGAGUUCCUUUUCGGGAACUCAUAGAGGGCAUGUCAAAUCCUGGUAAGGUUCUUCGCGUUGCCUCGAAUUAAACCACAUGUUCCACCGCUUGUGCGGGUCCCCGUCAAUUCCUUUGAGUUUUAAUCUUGCGACCGUACUCCCCAGGCGGGAUGCUUAACGCGUUAGCUACGCCACUGAGGCUAAAGCCCCAACAGCUAGCAUCCAUCGUUUACAGCGUGGACUAC
rnacentral:misc_RNA from 1 species